rnacentral:rRNA from 1 species
CCUACGGGUGGCAGCAGUGAGGAAUAUUGGUCAAUGGACGAGAGUCUGAACCAGCCAAGUAGCGUGAAGGAUGACUGCCCUAUGGGUUGUAAACUUCUUUUAUAAAGGAAUAAAACGAGGCACGUGUGCCUUUUUGCAUGUACUUUAUGAAUAAGGAUCGGCUAACUCCGUGCCAGCAGCCGCGGUAAUACGGAGGAUCCGAGCGUUAUCCGGAUUUAUUGGGUUUAAAGGGAGCGUAGAUGGGUUGUUAAGUCAGUGGUGAAAGUUUGCGGCUCAACCGUAAAAUUGCAAUUGAUACUGGCAGUCGUGAGUACAGUUGAGGUAGGCGGAAUUCGUGGUGUAGCGGUGAAAUGCUUAGAUAUCACGAAGAACCCCGAUUGCGAAGGCAGCUUACUAAACUGUGACUGACAUUGAUGCUCGAAAGUGUAGGUAUCAAACAGGAUUAGAUACCCCAGUAGUC